GGGGUUGUGGCUCAGUGGUGGAGCGCUCACCUCACAUGUGUGGGGCACUGGGUUCGAUCCUCAGCACCA
rnacentral:tRNA from 1 species